rnacentral:rRNA from 1 species
CCUACGGGGUGCAGCAGUGAGGAAUAUUGGUCAAUGGCCGCAGGGCUGAACCAGCCAAGUCGCGUGAGGGAUGACGGUCCUAUGGAUUGUAAACCUCUUUUGUCAGGGAGCAAAGGGCGCCACGUGUGGCGCUUUGCGAGUACCUGAAGAAAAAGCAUCGGCUAACUCCGUGCCAGCAGCCGCGGUAAUACGGAGGAUGCGAGCGUUAUCCGGAUUUAUUGGGAUUAAAGGGUGCGCAGGCGGAAUGUCAAGUCAGCGGUAAAAUUUCGGGGCUAAACCCCGUCGUGCCGUUGAAACUGGCGUUCUUGAGUGAGCGAGAGGUAUGCGGAAUGCGUGGUGUAGCGGUGAAAUGCAUAGAUAUCACGCAGAACUCCGAUUGCGAAGGCAGCAUACCGGCGCUCAACUGACGCUCAUGCACGAAAGCGUGGGUAUCGAACAGGAUUAGAUACCCUAGUAGUC